GGCUUUGGUUCUAGUGAACUGACACCAUUUCCUGCUCCCAUCCUGCAUAGCUGUAAGGCGAUGGGAGCUGUUGAAGCUGAGGAGUUUGUGGUCCCUUGUCACCGCAGCGCCUGGCGAGCUGCUGAAGAGAUGCUGAGAGCCAGAUGCCUUGAACCCCAGCCCUUGAGGUCCUGCACAUGAAGUCCUCCCUGGCUGCCAUCAUGAAUAUAUCUGGAUGGUUGGGUUAAGAUGGCUUCAGGAUUCAUUUCUAUUCUACAAGGGCCUCAUUCUUCAGCUGUUAGUACGGGAUGAUCUUCAUGGUUACAGCAGAGGAACAGGAGAAAGAGCAGAAACCAGAAACUCUGCAAAAAGAAGUGGCAGAGUCUAAGUCCCCUCUUCCGCCCACUAAUGAAUCACUUCAUGCAAAUCACCUGGUAGUCCGUGUGAGGGAGGGAUGGCCUUAGGCUGGCAGGCUUCCUCGUGCCCGGUAAUGCAAUGACAUUAUUCGGACUACAGGGUUUUCCUGGACUAUGCUCUGCUUAGUGAAUGUCUCUCUGUCAUCUGACGACUUGCCUCAUAGCAAGGCCUGGAUGUUUUUUUGUGAGGGAGAGAGGAACUGCAUUCACUUCUCUUGGCACUGACUACUGCCCAUUAGCUCAUUUUUCCCUCACAUCAACCUGGUAAAGUCGGGAAUGGGUGGUUUUCUGGUCUUGCCGUACGGCCCUGUUAAUUGUUAUGCUUAAAACAUAGCUGUUUAUAUUUGAUGCCCAAGCCAGAACCUGCUCUUAGGGACACUUAAGCUGUAAACAUGUAUUUCUCCCUCCUGAACCCUAUGUUUCUAUGCUGAUAUGCAAAAAAACCAAAACCCCCAAAGAACAACAAUAAAAACAACAAGAACA